rnacentral:rRNA from 1 species
UACGUAGGGGGCAAGCGUUGUCCGGAAUCAUUGGGCGUAAAGCGCGUGUAGGCGGUUCGGUAAGUCGGCUGUGAAAGUCCAGGGCUCAACCCUGGGAUGCCGGUGGAUACUGUCGGGCUCGAGUCCGGAAGAGGCGAGUGGAAUUCCUGGUGUAGCGGUGAAAUGCGCAGAUAUCAGGAAGAACACCCGUGGCUAAGGCGGCUCUCUAGUACGGUACUGACGCUGAGACGCGAAAGCGUGGGGAGCGAACAGG